GCAUGCUUUGGCAAUACAUACAUUAAAAUUGGAAUGAUAUAGAGAUUAUCUUGGCCCCUGAGUGAAGAUGACAUACACAUUUGAGAAGUGCAAAAAUAAAUA